rnacentral:rRNA from 1 species
CCUACGGGCGGCAGCAGUGGGGAAUAUUGCACAAUGGGGGAAACCCUGAUGCAGCGACGCCGCGUGAGUGAAGAAUUAUCUCGGUACGUAAAGCUCUAUCAGCAGGGAAGAAAAUGACGGUACCUGACUCAGAAGCCCCGGCUAACUACGUGCCAGCAGCAGCGGUAAUACGUCGGGGGCAAGCGUUAUCCGGAGUUACUGGGUGUAAAGGGAGCGUAAACGGCAGCGCAAGUCUGGAGUGAAAUGCCGGGGCCCAACCCCGGAACUGCUUUGGAAACUGUGCAGCUGGAGUGCAGGAGAGGUAAGUGGAAUUCCUAGUGUAGCGGUGAAAUGCGUAGAUAUUAGGAGGAACACCAGUGGCGAAGGCGGCCUGCUGGACUGCAACUGACGUUGAGGCUCGAAAGCGUGGGGAGCAAACAGGAUUAGAUACCCGAGUAGUC